rnacentral:lncRNA from 1 species
UGCAAAGUUCUCCAUUGUCAGAUUACGCUGCCUGAUGGGCAUGAAAAGUCCACAAAAGAGAAUUUUCUGAUGUGAGAAUGGAGGGUGUUGCCUGCAACUACCCCAGAUCCCUGCGGUGGCAGUUUAAGCCGCCUCCUGGAGCAGAUUGUUAAGCUGAUGCGAGUCUGGGCUCUGCCUCACCACUUGUCUCAGAGACAGAGUCUUGCUCUGUCACCUAGGCUGGAGUGCAGUGGUGCCAUCACAGCUCACUGCAGCCUCGACCUCCCCGUGCUCAAGUGAUCCUCACACCUCAGCCUCCCGAGUAGCCGCGAUCACAAGUUAAACAAACACAGUUCUUUACAUCAGUGCUUCCGUCCCUGGCCACCUGGUCUCCUGUCCUCUCCAGACCCAAAACCAUGGGCUGGGCUGCAGCAAAAUGAGGGUGUACUCAGUGCACUGAGGCCCAUGUACCAUGAGAGAUGGUGAGAGAAAGCCUUGGCCAGAGUUUAAGGAUUUGGGGCUGGGCACAGUGGCUCGUGCCUGUAAUCCUAGCACUUUGGGAGGCCAGGGCAGGAGGAUCACUUGAGGCCAAGAGUUUGAGACCAGCCUGAGCA